CGAACGCUGGCGGCAGGCCUAACACAUGCAAGUCGAACGCAUGCCUUCGGGCAUGAGUGGCGCACGGGUGAGUAACGCGUGGGAACCGACCCUGGGGUUGGGGAUAACCGCUGGAAACGGCGGCUAAUACCCAAUACGCCUUGAGGGGGAAAGAUUUAUCACCCUGGGACGGGCCCGCGUUGGAUUAGGUAGUUGGUGGGGUAACGGCCUACCAAGCCUACGAUCCAUAGCUGGUUUGAGAGGAUGAUCAGCCACACUGGGACUGAGACACGGCCCAGACUCCUACGGGAGGCAGCAGUGGGGAAUAUUGGACAAUGGGGGCAACCCUGAUCCAGCCAUGCCGCGUGAGUGAAGAAGGCCUUAGGGUUGUAAAGCUCUUUCAGUGGUGGAGAUGAUGACGGUAGCCACAGAAGAAGCCCCGGCUAACUCCAUGCCAGCAGCCGCGGUAAUACGGAGGGGGCAAGCGUUGUUCGGAAUUACUGGGCAUAAAGGGCGCGUAGGCGGAUAUUCAAGUCAGAGGUGAAAGCCCUGGGCUCAACCUGGGAAUGGCCUUUGAAACUGGAUGUCUGGAGUUCGGGAGAGGUGAGCGGAAUACCCAGUGUAGAGGUGAAAUUCGUAG
rnacentral:rRNA from 1 species